UUCAGAUAGAGCUUGUGAGGAAUAAGUUACUGGAGAACAGGAAGAUAGCAGCAGCUACCCACAACAUCGUGGCCUACAGGAUCCGAGUCCCCAACUCGGACAUCAUGUACCAGAGCUGUGAGGACGACGGAGAGUUCGGAGCUGGACAGAGAAUGCUGCAUCUCCUCAAUAUUCUGAAUGCGGAGAACGUGAUGGUGGUGGUGACUCGGUGGUACGGUGGCAUCCAUCUCGGCCCAGACAGAUUCAAGCACAUCAAUAACCUCUCCAGGGAAAUCCUGCUGGAGCACGGCUACGUCAAGG
rnacentral:lncRNA from 1 species